CCUACGGGAGGCAGCAGUGGGGAAUAUUGCGCAAUGGGCGAAAGCCUGACGCAGCGACGCCGCGUGAGGGAUGAAGGUCUUCGGAUCGUAAACCUCUGUCAGCAGGGAAGAAAGGUCACUGUGCUAAUCAGCAGUGCAUUGACGGUACCUGCAAAGGAAGCACCGGCUAACUCCGUGCCAGCAGCCGCGGUAAUACGGCGGGUGCGAGCGUUAAUCGGAAUUACUGGGCGUAAAGCGCUCGUAGGCGGUAUGUCAAGUCAAGGGUGAAAUCCCCGCGCUCAACGGGGGAACUGCCUUUGAAACUGGCAAACUGGAGUGUGUGAGAGGAUAGUGGAAUUCCAGGUGUAGGAGUGAAAUCCGUAGAUAUCUGGAGGAACAUCAGUGGCGAAGGCGACUAUCUGGCACAUAACUGACGCUGAGGAGCGAAAGCGUGGGUAGCAAACAGGAUUAGAUACCCCUGUAGUC
rnacentral:rRNA from 1 species